AAGGAAUAUUGUGCAAUGGGCGAAAGCCUGACACAGCGACGCCGCGUGGGGGAUGAAGGCUUUCGGGUUGUAAACCCCUUUUCUCAGGGAAGAACAAUGACGGUACCUGGGGAAUAAGUCUCGGCUAACUACGUGCCAGCAGCCGCGGUAAUACGUAGGAGGCGAGCGUUAUCCGGAUUUACUGGGCGUAAAGAGGGCGUAGGCGGUCCUUCAAGUCGGAUGUUAAAUCUCCCGGCUCAACUGGGAUGGACCAUUCGAUACUGCUGGGCUGGAGGAUAGCAGAGGGAGGUGGAAUUCCCGGUGUAGUGGUGAUAUGCGUAGAUAUCGGGAGGAACACCAGUGGCGAAGGCGGCCUCCUGGGCUAUUUCUGAYGCUGAGGCCYAAAAGCGUGGGGAGCGAACAGGAUUAGAUACCCUGGUAGUCCACGCUGUAAACGAUGGACACUAGGUAUAGGGAGUAUCGAYCCUUUCUGUGCCGWAVUAACGCAUUAAGUGUCC
rnacentral:rRNA from 1 species